rnacentral:rRNA from 1 species
ACGCUCGACACCUACGGGAGGAGCAGUGGGGAAUAUUGCACAAUGGGGGAAACCCUGAUGCAGCAACGCCGCGUGAAGGAAGACGGUUUUCGGAUUGUAAACUUCUGUUCUUAGUGAAGAUAGUGACGGUAGCUAAGGAGCAAGCCACGGCUAACUACGUGCCAGCAGCCGCGUAAUCUGAGGCGGGCUGGACGAAGGC